UUCCGGUUGAUCCCGCCGGACCUGACUGCUAUCGGAUUGAUACUAAGCCAUGCGAGUCAUUGUAGUAAUACAAGGCAGACGGCUCAGUAACGCGUAGUCAACCUAACCUAUGGACGGGAAUAACCUCGGGAAACUGAGUAUAAUGCCCGAUAGAACAUUAUGCCUGGAAUGGUUUAUGUUCCAAAUGAUUUAUCGCCGUAGGAUGGGACUGCGGCCUAUCAGUUUGUUGGUGAGGUAAUGGCCCACCAAGACUAUUACAGGUACGGGCUCUGAGAGGAGUAGCCCGGAGAUGGGUACUGAGACACGGACCCAGGCCCUAUGGGGCGCAGCAGGCGAGAAAACUUUGCAAUGUGCGAAAGCACGACAAGGUUAAUCCGAGUGGUUUCUGCUAAAGGAACCUUUUGUUAGUCCUAGAAACACUAACGAAUAAGGGGUGGGCAAGUUCUGGUGUCAGCCGCCGCGGUAAAACCAGCACCUCAAGUGGUCAGGAUGAUUAUUGGGCCUAAAGCAUCCGUAGCCGGCUCUGUAAGUUUUCGGUUAAAUCUGUACGCUCAACGUACAGGCUGCCGGGAAUACUGCAGAGCUAGGGAGUGGGAGAGGUAGACGGUACUCAGUAGGAAGGGGUAAAAUCCUUUGAUCUAUUGAUGACCACCUGUGGCGAAG
rnacentral:rRNA from 1 species